rnacentral:lncRNA from 1 species
GCUGUAGUGUACUGGCCUAGCUCUAAAACUUUGCAGUACAUCACUUAUUUUUAACUUUCACUUUUUUUCUCUUUUCUUCUUUUGGAGAAAGAAAGCCUGACAGGUUUCUUCGGAAAAGUGGCCAUCCAUGGAAUGAAUGAAAUGUUCUCUUUCUAUUCCAGGGAUUGCAGUGGCAAAGCUAGGCUAGGUCUUGGAGGCUGGUGUAAGGCGAUGUGGGUGAAGGCAGGAGGCUGAUGGAAAGACUGGGGGGAAGAAAAGCCGAAAUGGAUUCACGGUGCCUUGGAUGAAGGACGAGAGGGGAACUGCAAGCUCCUUCAACUGGUUCUGUCCGGUGAGAAGUGAUCAAGCUUGGGCUGACAAGAGGCUCAGGGAGCCCUCACGUUCUUUCGCUUUUUUACCUGCCAAUCAAACUGCUACAAGACAACACCCUGAUCUGGCAUGGACAUCGCGGGUCCAAGCCUGUAGCCCCAAAUCGGAUAAUCUCUGCAGCUGAUAACAAGCAAAAGAGAAGCCAGGCAACAGCCAUAUUAAAGAAGAAAACAAUCAACUCUGAGAUCCAACUUAGAAAUAAUGUUUCAUUCAAGAUAAGGCUCGUGGCUUAGGAGAUUGUGACCUGGCUUGCAUCAUUCUAAGACUUCUAUCGUCUGUUUUCAAAACCCAAGGAGGACCUCCUUUUCUGUGUGAUAGUUCCUCAUGCUUUGCCAGCCACUGGGUCUUUAAGGAAGCUUGCCAAGAGUUCCCGGCUGGGAAGGACAGUUCGAGUUCAUCAUAGACAAUGAGCUGGCACCACAGUUUAAGUGACUCACCAACCUGGUUGCCCACUUCAAAAUGUCAAGAACCACACUAUCUAAUUGAAAGAACUGUGUUUUAGCAAAGUGUAAUUGGAUCGCCUGGCAAGAUCAUCUCAAACUAUGUCUCUGACCUUGCCUUUCAGUGGCUAUUUUGAGCACAAGAGGAGAAAGGAAAUGAUUCCUGAAUUAUAUCUUGUUUUUAAAAAUUAAGAUUAAUUAAUACUUGGUUUUAUGUUCAUUCCAUUGUAGGAACUUAGUGAUUAUUACAAAACAGUCAAAAUAGGUCAUAGCAAAAUGAACGUUUAAGAUUAGGUUAAAACAUUCCUCUGAAAUUUUAGUAUUCACUUUUGAAGUGUCAAUUACUAUAUUUCUGUAAUUUCUCAUUUUUUUCUUGGCUUAGAGUCAAGAUGAAAAAUGAUAUUUGAAUCAAAGACAUUGUUUUGUUAUAUAGCCACUCCUUUCUAAAAUGCAAAUCCACCCUCCCCUCACCAAUGCUUUAUUCUUUGUGCGCGCACACACACACACACACACACACACACACACACACACACACAGACAUACACAGAACCAGCACCCAAAUGGUAGAGGAGGUCCUUCCAAGACUUCUAGGACCUGGAUCAUGUAAGCAGUAGAUGAGAAAAUGAAGUAAGAGAUAUAGAGUAAUAACAAUAAAAGUCAAUGAUUUCAUUUUACAAAAAAGUCAUUGUGUAGUACUCAGAUAUUUUUAAGAGCAAGUAUUAUUAUGACUAAAGUAUAUUAUACUUCUAAAUUAUUAUGAUUCUCAUCUAAUUUCAAGCCACACAUAGGCGCCAUUUGAAAGCAUUUUGUGUUACAACCUAUCAACAAAAAUCAACUAAUAGUUUUAUAACGUGCAUAGGUUU